UAGGGAAUCUUCGGCAAUGGGGGGAACCCUGACCGAGCAACGCCGCGUGAGUGAAGAAGGUUUUCGGAUCGUAAAGCUCUGUUGUUAAGGAAGAACGAGUGUGAGAAUGGAAAGUUCAUGCUGUGACGGUACUUAACCAGAAAGGGACGGCUAACUACGUGCCAGCAGCCGCGGUAAUACGUAGGUCCCGAGCGUUGUCCGGAUUUAUUGGGCGUAAAGCGAGCGCAGGCGGUUAGAAAAGUCUGAAGUGAAAGGCAGUGGCUCAACCAUUGUAGGCUUUGGAAACUGUUUAACUUGGGUGCAGAAGGGGAGAGUGGAAUUCCAUGUGUAGCGGUGAAAUGCGUAGAUAUAUGGAGGAACACCGGUGGCGAAAGCGGCUCUCUGGUCUGUAACUGACGCUGAGGCUCGAAAGCGCGGGGAGCGAACAGG
rnacentral:rRNA from 1 species